rnacentral:rRNA from 1 species
AACGUAGGUGGCAAGCGUUAUCCGGAUUUACUGGGCGUAAAGGGUGUGCAGGCGGGGGUGCAAGUGGUGUGUGAAAUCUCCCGGCUUAACCGGGAGGGGUUAUGCCAGACUGCAAUUCUAGAGGACGAGAGAGGGGGGUGGAAUUCCGGGUGUAGUGGUGAAAUGCGUAGAGAUGUGGAGGAACACCGAUGGCGAAGGCAGCCCCCUGGGUCAACACUGACGCUCAUGCACGAAAGCGUGGGGAGCAAACAGG